GACGGAGGAUGCAAGCGUUUAUCCGGAAUGAUUGGGCGUAAAGCGUCCGCAGGUGGCAGUUCAAGUCUGCUGUCAAAGACCGGGGCUUAACUUCGGAAAGGCAGUGGAAACUGAACAGCUAGAGUAUGGUAGGGGCAGAGGGAAUUCCUGGUGUAGCGGUGAAAUGCGUAGAUAUCGGAAGGAACAUCAGUGGCGAAAGCGACUCCUGGACCAAUACUGACGCUCAUGUGCGAAAGCGUGGGGAGCAAACAGG
rnacentral:rRNA from 1 species